UUUCCGUAGGUGAACCUGCGGAAGGAUCAUUAUUGUAUAACCGAGGUGCGAGGGCUGUCGCUCACCCGAAAGGUCGUGCACGCCCGAGUGCCCUCACACACAUACAUCUCACCCCUAUGUGCACCACCGCGUGGGUACCCCUUUGGCUUGUUAGGAGGGGGGCCUACGUGUUCGAACAAACUUUGUAUGCAGUGUAGAAUGUAUUUUUUGUUUUUGCGAUCACGCAAUCAAUACAACUUUCAACAACGGAUCUCUUGGCUCUC
rnacentral:misc_RNA from 1 species